AGUCAGUUGUGAAAGUUUGCGGCUCAACCGUAAAAUUGCAGUUGAUACUGGAUAUCUUGAGUGCAGUUGAGGCAGGCGGAAUUCGUGGUGUAGCGGUGAAAUGCUUAGAUAUCACGAAGAACUCCGAUUGCGAAGGCAGCCUGCUAAGCUGCAACUGACAUUGAGGCUCGAAAGUGUGGGUAUCAAACAGGAUUAGAUACCCUGGUAGUCCACACGGUAAACGAUGAAUACUCGCUGUUUGCGAUAUACUGCAAGCGGCCAAGCGAAAGCGUUAAGUAUUCCACCUGGGGAGUACGCCGGCAACGGUGAAACUCAAAGGAAUUGACGGGGGCCCGCACAAGCGGAGGAACAUGUGGUUUAAUUCGAUGAUACGCGAGGAACCUUACCCGGGCUUAAAUUGCAGAUGAAUUACGGUGAAAGCCGUAAGCCGCAAGGCAUCUGUGAAGGUGCUGCAUGGUUGUCGUCAGCUCGUGCCGUGAGGUGUCGGCUUAAGUGCCAUAACGAGCGCAACCCUUGUUGUCAGUUACUAACAGGUUCCGCUGAGGACUCUGACAAGACUGCCAUCGUAAGAUGUGAGGAAGGUGGGGAUGACGUCAAAUCAGCACGGCCCUUACGUCCGGGGCUACACACGUGUUACAAUGGGGGGUACAGAGGGCCGCUACCACGCGAGUGGAUGCCAAUCCCCAAAACCUCUCUCAGUUCGGACUGGAGUCUGCAACCCGACUCCACGAAGCUGGAUUCGCUAGUAAUCGCGCAUCAGCCACGGCGCGGUGAAUACGUUCCCGGGCCUUGUACACACCGCCCGUCAAGCCAUGGGAGCCGGGGGUACAUGAAGUGCGUAACCGCGAGGAGCGCCCUAGGGUA
rnacentral:rRNA from 1 species